rnacentral:rRNA from 1 species
UCGAGAAUCUUUCGCAAUGCCCGAAAGCCUGACGCAGCCACGCCGCGUGAGGGAUGAAGGCUCUAGGGUUGUAAACCUCUUUAGGCAGGGAAGAAAAUGACGGUACCUGCAGAAUAAGGUCCGGCCAACUACGUGCCAGCAGCCGCGGUAACACGUAGGGACCGAGCGUUGUCCGGAUUUAUUGGGCGUAAAGAGCUCGUAGGCGGUUCGGUAAGUCAGGUGUGAAAGCUCGAGGCUCAACCUCGAGAUGCCACCUGAUACUGCUGUGACUUGAGUCCGGUAGAGGAGUGUGGAAUUCCUGGUGUAGCGGUGAAAUGCGCAGAUAUCAGGAGGAACACCAAUUGCGAAGGCAGCACUCUGGGCCGGUACUGACGCUGAGGAGCGAAAGCGUGGGGAGCGAACAGG